rnacentral:tRNA from 2 species
GCGGGCGUGGCGAAAUUGGUAGACGCGCCGGCUUUAGGUGCCGGUGGCCUUCGGCCAUGGGGGUUCGAGUCCCUCCGCCCGCA